rnacentral:rRNA from 1 species
CUGGUUGAUCCUGCCAGUAGUCAUAUGCUUGUCUCAAAGAUUAAGCCAUGCAUGUGUAAGUAUAAGCCCUUGUACGGCGAAACUGCGAAUGGCUCAUUAAAACAGUUAUCGUUUCUUUGAUGAUCAACUUACUACUUGGAUAACUGUAGUAAUUCUAGAGCUAAUACAUGCGGAACCCUCACGGGUAGCGUUUAUUAGAUACAAAACCAAUAUUUCGUAACAGAAAUUCUGGUGAUUCAUAAUAACCUAGCGAAUCGGCCUCGUGGCUGAUGCAUCUUUCAAGUUUCUGACCUAUCAGCUAUUGACGGUAGGGUAUUGGCCUACCGUGGCGAUGACGGGUGACGGGGGAUCAGGGUUCGAUUCCGGAGAGGGAGCCUGAGAAACGGCUACCACAUCUAAGGAUGGCAGCAGGCGCGCAAAUUACCCAAUCCUGACACAGGGAGGUAGUGACAAGAAAUAACAAUACAGGGCUUUUAGUCUUGUAAUUGGAAUGAGUGGAUGUUAAAUCUAUCCACGAGUAUCAAUUGGAGGGCAAGUCUGGU